rnacentral:misc_RNA from 1 species
GAUGAAGAACGCAGCGAAAUGCGAUAAGUAAUGUGAAUUGCAGAAUUCAGUGAAUCAUCGAAUCUUUGAACGCACAUUGCGCCCGCCAGUAUUCUGGCGGGCAUGCCUGUUCGAGCGUCAUUACAACCCUCAGGCCCCCGGGCCUGGCGUUGGGGAUCGGCGGAAGCCCCCUGCGGGCACAACGCCGUCCCCCAAAUACAGUGGCGGUCCCGCCGCAGCUUCCAUUGCGUAGUAGCUAACACCUCGCAACUGGAGAGCGGCGCGGCCACGCCGUAAACCACCCAACUUCUGAAUGUUGACCUCGAAUCAGGUAGGAAUACCCGCUGAACUUAAGCAUAUCAAUAAGCGGAGGA